GUGCAGCAGGCGAGAAAACUUCGCAAUGCGCGAAAGCGCGACGAGGGGAUUCCAAGUGCAUGCACUAAGUGUAUGCUUUUCGUGAGUUUAAAACGCUCACGGAAUAAGGGCUGGGUAAGACUGGUGCCAGCCGCCGCGGUAAUACCAGCGGCCCUAGUGGUGAUCGUUAUUAUUGGGCCUAAAGCGUCCGUAGCCGGUCCGGUAAAUCUCUGGGUAAAUCGUUGGGCUUAACUCAGCGAAUUCUGGGGAGACUGCUGGACUUGGGGACCGGGAGAGGUCGGAGGUACUCCAGGGGUAGGGGUGAAAUCCUGUAAUCCUUGGGGGACCACCGGUGGCGAAGGCGUCCGACCAGAACGGGUCCGACGGUAAGGGACGAAGCCCUGGGGCGCGAACCGGAUUAGAUACCCGCGUAGU
rnacentral:rRNA from 1 species